UUCCGCCGACCCUUCUCCGCCUCGCCCGAGGGCUCGGCUGUAUCUUUUUUCCUUGAACCUAGGGUGUAUGUAUAAAACUUGGGGACUUUUCAGCAUUACGUCUGAGGACCCCUAGCUCAUCUAUUCCUCUAGAUUAAGGGUCAGAUCAUAAGUUACUCCCCAUCCGACCCUUACAUCUUGAUCUCCAUCAACUCCAUUGAACCUUCC
rnacentral:lncRNA from 1 species